rnacentral:rRNA from 1 species
CUUCGGCGAGUUGUGAAUUGCAGGUUGGCGCCUCUGCGGCGGCGGCGGUCCAAGUCCCUUGGAACAGGGCGCCAUUGAGGGUGAGAGCCCCGUGGGACCGUUUGCCUAGGCUCUGAGGCCCUUCUGACGAGUCGAGUUGUUUGGGAAUGCAGCUCUAAGCGGGUGGUAAAUUCCAUCUAAGGCUAAAUACUGGCGAGAGACCGAUAGCGAACAAGUACUGUGAAGGAAAGAUGAAAAGCACUUUGAAAAGAGAGUGAAACAGCACGUGAAAUUGUUGAAAGGGAAGGGUAUUGCGCCCGACAUGGAGCGUGCGCACCGCUGCCCCUCGUGGGCGGCGCUCUGGGCGUGCUCUGGGCCAGCAUCGGUUUUUGCCGCGGGAGAAGGGCGGCGGGCAUGUAGCUCUUCGGAGUGUUAUAGCCUGCCGCCGGCGCCGCGAGCGGGGACCGAGGACUGCGACUUUUGUCUCGGAUGCUGGCACAACGGCGCAACACCGCCCGUCUUGAAACAUGGACCAAGGAGUCUAACGUCUAUGCGAGUGUUUGGGUGUGAAACCCCGGGCGCGUAAUGAAAGUGAACGUAGGUCGGACCGCUCCUCUCGGGGGGCGGGCACGAUCGACCGAUCCUGAUGUCUUCGGAUGGAUUUGAGUAAGAGCAUAGCUGUUGGGACCCGAAAGAUGGUGAACUAUGCCUGAAUAGGGUGAAGCCAGAGGAAACUCUGGUGGAGGCUCGUAGCGGUUCUGACGUGCAAAUCGAUCGUCGAAUUUGGGUAUAGGGGCGAA